rnacentral:ncRNA from 1 species
CUUCCGUCUUCCCCGCACAGGAAGGCGGACCGAGGAACCGGAGCUCUCUGCCCUGACUGCCCCGGCUCCUCAUCCUUCGGCCGGCCGGGACCGCACACCCGACGGCCGAUGUUGCUCCGGGCUGCGGUGCCGGGAGGGUUGAGGGUCCCUCCCAGGCGC